rfam:Pneumocystis jirovecii, SE8, WGS project CAKM01000000 data, contig: 271
CUUUGAUGAAUGUUGAUGACGAGUCAGAUUUUAUGUUUACUGUUGACAACUAUUUCUACCAUUCAUGCUUAACUGAGU